rnacentral:rRNA from 1 species
UACGUAGGGGGCUAGCGUUAUCCGGAAUUACUGGGCGUAAAGGGUGCGUAGGUGGUUUCUUAAGUCAGAGGUGAAAGGCUACGGCUCAACCGUAGUAAGCCUUUGAAACUGGGAAACUUGAGUGCAGGAGAGGAGAGUGGAAUUCCUAGUGUAGCGGUGAAAUGCGUAGAUAUUAGGAGGAACACCAGUUGCGAAGGCGGCUCUCUGGACUGUAACUGACGCUGAUGCACGAAAGCGUGGGGAGCAAACAGGAUUAGAUACCCUGGUAGUCCCUGA